UGGUUCGGGUGGGUGGGUGUGCAAGGCGUCUGUCUGUCUGUCUGUCUGUCUGUCUGUCUGUCUGUCUGUCUGUCUGUCUGUCAGAGUGGGUGUGGGUGGGUGUGCGUGUGCAAGGCGGGUGUGCGAGGCGCGCGCCAGUCCCAACCCCCUACACGUUGAUCUUAUUCGAUCGGCCGGGCCUGGCCGGGCCGAGGUGAGAAGAGCAGCGGCGCCGCGAAGCCCACGGGCGCUGUGCGGUGGCCGGCGGCGGGCGGGAUGAGUCGAUCAGAUAGGCGAGGCCGCGGCCGCUGAGCGCCCUGCGAUUCUGACCCGC